UAAACGGGAAAAGCCCUUACCAGGUCUUGACAUACUAUGCAAAUUUAAGAGAUUAGACGUUCCCUUCGGGGACAUGGAUACAGGUGGUGCAUGGUUGUCGUCAGCUCGUGUCGUGAGAUGUUGGGUUAAGUCCCGCAACGAGCGCAACCCUUAUUAUCAGUUGCCAGCAUUAAGUUGGGCACUCUGGUGAGACUGCCGGUGACAAACCGGAGGAAGGUGGGGAUGACGUCAAAUCAUCAUGCCCCUUAUGACCUGGGCUACACACGUGCUACAAUGGAUGGUACAACGAGUUGCGAACUCGCGAGAGUAAGCUAAUCUCUUAAAGCCAUUCUCAGUUCGGAUUGUAGGCUGCAACUCGCCUACAUGAAGUCGGAAUCGCUAGUAAUCGCG
rnacentral:rRNA from 1 species